UCUCUCAUCUGUCUCACUGUGUGUGCAAGACGCCAUUGUUUUGCUGGGAUGCCCUGGCCAAUUACCCAACCCAGCAACCUUAGCUCCACACAACGGCUAAACGCGAACCCAUCCCUCCCAUCACCCUCGAGCUCCUCCUUCCUCUCUCCGUCAUCGAUCUCACUCCCUCACCUCCGUCCAUCUCCCGCUGCCGUCGCCGAAACGAGCUUCGAAGCCACCGUCGUUAUCGUGCAGCUCUGUUCCACCAUCGUGCAGCUACUCUUUCAGCUUUGAAAGCACUGUCGCGCAGCUCGGUUCCAUCGUCGCCGGGCUUGCCUCCUUUUUCCGUUGCGCAGCUCUGUUCCAUCGUCACCGGUGCUAUCUCUGUUCUACCUGCCAUCCCUUCGGUCGUGCCCUUGUCUCCCUCUUGCUUAGGAUCUGCUCUGCUCUGUUCUAGGGCUUCUAGCUUCUAGGCUGUGUUUGAUGAGGAUGAGGAAGAUAAAUACAAGGAAAGGAAUUCGGGAAAUAGUUUGAAGA